ACGGCUGACGAGCUCCACCUGCCCGGGUUUGUUGUUCGGAGUUUGCUCUCCUAGGCAGAUUGCCUACCACGGCUGACGAGCUCCACCUGCCCGGGUUUGUUGUUCGGAGUUUGCUCUCCUAGGUGAAUUGCCUACCACGGCUAACGAGCCUCACCUGCCCGGGUUUGUAUAGAGUUUGCUCUCCUAGGUGAAUUGCCUACCACGGCUAACGAGCCUCACCUGCCCGGGUUUGUAUAGAGUUUGCUCUCCUAGGUGAAUUGCCUACCACGGCUGACGAGCUCCACCUGCCCGGGUUUAUUGUUCGGAGUUUGCUCUCCUAGGUGAAUUGCCUACCACGGCUGACGAGCUCCACCUGCCCGGGUUUAUUGUUCGGAGUUUGCUCUCCUAGGUGAAUUGCCUCCCACGGCUAACGACCUCCACCUGCCCGGGUUUAUUGUUCGGAGUUUGCUCUCCUAGGUGAAUUGCCUCCCACGGCUAACGACCUCCACCUGCCCGGGUUUGUAUAGAGUUUGCUCUCCUAGGUGAAUUGCCUACCACGGCUAACGAGCCUCACCUGCCCGGGUUUGUAUAGAGUUUGCUCUCCUAGGUGAAUUGCCUACCACGGCUAACGAGCCUCACCUGCCCGGGUUUGUAUAGAGUUUGCUCUCCUAGGUGAAUUGCCUACCACGGCUAACGAGCCUCACCUGCCCGGGUUUGUUUAGAGUUUGCUCUCCUAGGUGAAUUGCCUUCCACGGCUUACGAGCCUCACCUGCCCGGGUUUGUAUAGAGUUUGCUCUCCUAGGUGAAUUGCCUUCC